rnacentral:lncRNA from 1 species
CGCGCUUAACCUGCGUCUUUUUGUUUCCUUCCUCUUAUUCUCAAGCAUAACAAACUCGCAGCAUGCACUGCCCAUGAUCCGUUUUACCCGCGCCAUCCCACGGACAGAGUUGUGGCCAGUACACCCACGAUUACAGCAACAAAGAAAACUACGACAAGUCUGAAGAAAAGACUAGCCUGACACUAACUGUCUAAACUGAACCUGACCGUGUACACUGCACGUUUUAGGAUUAUUCAGAGAACUAACUUACUGAAAAUAGAACAGGUGCAACUAGAUUACCAUAACAUUUCACCUCCUUAAGAUUGUUGCACCAGCUAAACAUUUUGUAACCCAAUCUUCUCCUUCAUUUCCUGAAACCGCACCCUUGCUAAUGGUUUGGUCAAUAUGUCAGCAAGUUGCGCCUCUGUUCUGACAUGUUCCACUGAGAUUUGCUCUUCUUCGACACAGCUUCUCACAUAAUGAUAUCUAAUGUCUAUAUGCUUGCUUCUCUCAUGGAACACUGGGUUUUUGCACAAUGCAAUUGCUGAUUGGUUAUCAACCUUCAGCAAUACUCUGUCCGGCUCCCUGUUCAACAAUUCUCCAAGGAGCCGAGCUAGCCACACUGCUUGGCAUGCAGCUGAUGCGGCUGCUACAUAUUCGGCUUCACAAGACGAUAGAGCCACAACUCUCUGCUUUUGCGUUGCCCAUGUAAUUGGACUCCCACCCAGGAAGAAGAUCAUGCCUGUAGUGCUCUUGCGGUCAUCCACAUCCCCAGUUAAAUCACGGUCACAAUAUCCGAGAAGUUGUGGAUUCUCUCCAGCUCCUUUCUCAUAAAAACAUCCAAGGUUCAGAGUUCCUUUCACAUACCUCAGGAUGUGCCUGAUUGCUGCCAUGUGAUCAGUCGUGGGCCUCUCCAUAAACCGACUGACAUAACCAACAGCAUAGCAUAUGUCUGGUCGAGUGUGGACCAAAUAGCGAAGGCUCCCAACCACGCUACGAUACUGAGUAUGAUCAACCUCUAAUGCUUUACUGGACUUAGUCAACCUUAACCUCGCCUCCAUGGGAGUGUGAAUUGGAUUGCAGUCCUGCAUCCCCAUCUUGUUCAGAAUUCUAGCUGCAUAUGCUGACUGACAUAGGGCAAUUCCCCGAGCUGAUUGCUUCACUUCUAUCCCAAGAUAGUAACUAAGAAGCCCGAGAUCGCUCAUACUGAAUCUUGUUUUCAUUUGCCUUUUUGAAAACUGCUAUAUCAGUGUCAUUGCCUCCUGUAAUUAUCAAGUCGUCAACAUACACCCCAACAAUCAGAGUGUGCUUGCCAUUUGUUCUCUUGUACACCCCUGAAUCUGACGGACACUUCUCGAACCCCAUCUCUGUUAAAGUGCAGUCUAGUUUGGAAUUCCAUGCACGCGGUGCUUGACGCAAACCAUACAAUGCCUUCCGUAGUCUGCACACCUUGCUGUCCUGACCCACAACUUCGAAGCCUGGAGGUUGGCAUACACACACCUCCUCAAUCAGAUCCCCAUUAAGAAAGGCUGAUUUAACGUCCAUAUGAUGCAUCUUCCAACCAAAUUGAGCUGCCAGUGCAACUAGAAGUCUGACGGACUCAAUGCGCGCGACAGGGGCAAAAACUUCUUCAAAGUCAAUUCCCUGUCUCUGUACAUAACCCUUUGCAACCAACCUCGCUUUGUGUUUGAUUACUGCUCCAGUGGGGUCUUUCUUCAGCUUGUAAACCCACUUCAGCCCAAUUGGUUUGUGCCCUUUCGGGAGAUCGCACAACUCCCAUGUGUUGUUCUCAUGGAUGGAGCUUAGUUCCUCUUUCAUUGCCUUCUGCCAACAGGUCUCUUUUAGAGCUUCAUCAUGAUUCCUAGGCUCCUCAAGGCCGAACAGGCAUAGCUUGGCAUCUAUUUUUUUGAUCUCUGUUUCCUCAUAGAUCUCAUCAAGGAGUCGCUUCCCUUGUGGCCCCUGCGAAGGCUCGGUGUACGGGGUGUUAGGAGAACCAGGAGCAUAAGCAGGGGACACCGGAGAGGCUUCUAGGUCCAGUGGGAUUGCAGCCCCGUCGUUGGCAUGUCUUGUUCUAUGCCUCUGCCGAGGCGCUGCUAUGGUAGGAGUUCUGCUUGGUGAAUCUGCUGCCACGGUAACGUCUUCUGCUACCUCUUCUCCAUCACAAACUGGCUGUUCUGGGUAGCUGACAACAAAUGAACUUCUAUCACUGCUUCCCACUGAUCCCGAGAGGCUCCAAUCCCAAAACCUGUCUUCCUCAAACACUGCAUCUCGUGAUACAACAAGUUUCUUACUUUCCGGGUCAUACAUGCGAUAAGCCUUGGAGCCAGUUUCAUAACCAAUGAAGACCAUUUGUGAGCUUCUGUCAGAGAGCUUUGACACGCCGGGCCCAACCUUUUUCACAUGAGCAACACAACCAAAAGUGCGAAGAUGUUGGACUGACGGCUUUCUCUCAUACCAUGCCUCAUACGGUGUUUUGCCCUUGACACUCUUUGUCAACGAUCUGUUCAGCAAAUACACGGCAGUGGUCACUGCUUCACCCCAAUACCGAGCUGGCACCCCCAUACUUUUCAGCAGACUGCGCGCCAUGCCCACGACGGUUUGGUUUCUCCUUUCGACCACACCAUUCUGUUGUGGGCUAUAUGGUGACGUGCAAAAAUGCUUGAUUCCGUGCUGCUCACAGUGCUCUAUAAAUUCUCUUGAGGUAAACUCACCCCCUCGGUCUGUUCUAAUUGCCUUCAACUGAUGCCCACUUUCAACUUCAGCAGCCUUCUGAAUUUUCUGUAGUACAUUGAGAGCCUCAUCUUUGCUCCGCAACAGAGUAAUCCACAUAAACCGAGAGUGGUCAUCCACUACCAGAAGAAAGUAUCUCUUUCCACCAGGCGUUUCAGGCGUUAUAGGCCUGCAUAAGUCUGCAUGAAUGAGCUGAAGUUGCUCCGUUGCACGGUAAGUGGCCUGAACCGGGAACGGGAGGCGUCUCUGCUUAGCAAUCAUACACCCAUCGCAGAUCUUAUCUACCUGAUCUAGGUACGGCAUACCAUCUACCAUACCCUCUGUUGCAAGUGCUCGGAGUGACCUAAAGUUCACAUGUCCAUACCUCAUAUGCCACAGCCAUGAUUGCUCCUUAGCAUGCGCCAACAGACACACAGGUUCAGUUGGUUGGAUGUUUAAGAUAUACAUCCGGUUCUUAGUCCUCUUUACUCUAGCUAGGACAUUUCUCUAGCGACCCCAUACUGUCAUCAGCCCAUCUUCACUAGAAUAUUUGCACCCAUUUUCAUCUAGCUGCCCCAGACUGAUGAUAUUACUCUUGAGCCGAGGAAUGAAGUAUACAUCGGUAAGAACACGAUGCUCGCCUGUGAGACAUUGUAUGAGAACCGAUCCACGUCCACAAAUGUCUACUGCAGAACCAUCACCAAAUUUCACCUUUCCUUUCACUGUUUCAUCCAAUUCAGAAAACUUAUGUGCAUCUCCAGUCAUGUGUUACUUGCCCCUGUAUCUAGGUACCAAGCGACGUCGUGGCUACCCGUCAGUUUAGGCGCCACUUUCUCUUCAUUCAACAGUACUUGUUCAGAGGUGAUGGGGUCUGAAGGCAUCAUCUCACAUGUCUCCAGCAUAAGGAGUGCAGCAUCUUCAACCUCUUCUGCCUGCGCAAAGUUCGCCUGCUCGCGCUUCGGCUCCGGGCAGUCAGACUGAAAGUGGCCCAUUUCAUUACAAUCGAAACACCUAACCUUUGUGAUGUCAAAUUUGUGGUGCUUCUUCUGCUUCCAGGCAUCCUUGCUCUCACCGCGCCCGGCUUGUCCACGAUCACCACGGCCUCCGCGGCCAGCGCCGCGACCUCGACCGCCUCCACGUCCACGACCGGUGUUACUGCUGCCGGCUCCGGGUGACCCCUUUUUGCCGUUCAUCAGCUGUUCAAGUGCCUGCGUCAUGAACAUCAGUUGGUCCUCCUUCACACCGGAGUGACGCCGCCGCCCGCGUUGGCUCUCUUCGAACGCGGCGAGGCGACCGACUGCCUCCGACACGGUCAUGGUAGUGAGGUCACCCCACUGCUCAAUGGUGUUCACGAUGUCCCCAAACCGGCUCGGGGCGGCGUUGAAGAGGACCUCAAUGAUCGACUCAUCUGACACCGUCUCGCCCAGCGAUCGGAUUUCUCCAACGAGCGUCAUCAAUUUCUGCGCAAACACACUGACAGACUCACCGUCGUCCAUCUCCAUGCGGUCGAGCUGCCGCUUCAACUGCUUGACCCGCGCCUUCUUGACACGGUCCUCGCCGACGCGCAUGCGCCGGAUCGCCUCCAAGGCCUCGUGGGCGGUAGUGCAAUCAGCCACCGCCAUCAUCACCGAGUCGGGAACCGGCUGAGAGAGUGCGGCAAACGCUUCGUCGUCCCUGCUCUGGUUAAACUCGCCCGUGCCCUCGAGCGCCGGCCACACGCCAUACGGACGCAGCAGGAUCUUCAUCUUCACCGCCCACAGACCAUAGUUCGAGUCCGUGAGCAUUGGGUACUGGAUCGGGACGCCGCCGGUCCUCGACGGCGCACGCGGCACGAUCGCCACCUCUGCGCCCGUGUCGUCAUCCCCGGUCCUCUUCGCCGGCGGCGUGUACUUUCCGCCGCCGCUGCUCUUCGGUGAAGUAUCGCCCAUCACUGCUCGCCGCCGCCACAACUCCUCCUAUCUCCGCCGCCGUGCUCCGCCUCCGUGAACCAACGCUCUGAAUACCAAAUGUAGGAUCAGGCCCAGGAUCAACAAACACACGCGAGGUGGACACUCACACGAUACGAACUGAAGGAGAAAGAAGAACUGCACGAACGCAAUGAACGGAGAGAUUUUUGCGACGCGCUUAACCUGCGUCUUUUUGUUUCCUUCCUCUUAUUCUCAAGCAUAACAAACUCGCAGCAUGCACUGCCCAUGAUCCGUUUUACCCGCGCCAUCCCACGGACAGAGUCGUGGCCAGUACACCCACGAUUACAGCAACAAAGAAAACUACGACAAGUCUGAAGAAAAGACUAGCCUGACACUAACUGUCUAAACUGAACCUGACCGUGUACACUGCACGUUUCAGGAUUAUUCAGAGAACUAACUUACUGAAAAUAGAACAGGUGCAACUAGAUUACCAUAACAUUCUCCACCACCAAUGGCCCGGCACCUCCUCGCCCUGGUAUUGCAGCUGUUUGGCAUCGGAGCUCCGCGAUCCGGCGCCGGCGACCGCCAUCGUCCCGUGCAUCUGCGCCCAACGAAAUGGAAGCCUGCGUUUCCACGAGCCGCGUCCUCCUCCCUUUCCCUCUCUGCGCCGCGCGGCCGGCGGAUGCCUGCUUCCGGCGCCGAGCAGGGGCUAGCCGACGAAGAGGGGUCGGGCUAAACCCGGCAACGGCGUCGCUCGACAGCGCCGCAGUGCUCCUCGACGCCACCGUCGGGGCGGGGACGGGGUACUCGCAGGCGCGCUACUACACCUCGCUGGGGUUCUUCGUGCUGUCCGUGCCGGGGCUCUGGUUGCUCAUCAAGCGCUCCGUCAAGUCCAAGGUCUCCCCCGGCCUCUCCUCCUCCGUACUUGCUUCCUCUAUUUCUUAGUCCCACAGUCUGCCCUCCUUUCUAUCGAACCAAAUUAGUCAAAUAAGUUAAAUCUCCAAAGUUAAUAUUGUUGGAGACGCCUUCUUCAAAUUGUAAAAUAUAUACGUGGACCAAUUUGACAACGAUGGAUCUGUCCCUCUUUGAGGUAGUGACUUCAUGCCGGCUUUGUGAACAAUUGCUAUUCUUGAAUAGGAUCUAUUCGAAUUAAACGUGCAUACACAGACUUCUUAAAAUUUGUUGAGGGGGUGCACUUUUAGGAACAAUUGCUCUCAACUUCUUCCAGGUUGAAUUUGACUAAAAAGUAAGUGCCAUGUUGUUCUAAUGACCACCAGAAAAUAUUUUCCUUGCAAUGCCAAUUGUUGCAGGUUUUCAUCCUUUCUGUUUCUAUCUAAAUUUAUUCUUAAGGUAGUCAAUGCUUUUCUAGGAUGUAUGCCUUGGCGUAGUGCUAAAGCUGCUGCCUUGUGACC